CGUUUAUAGAGUAUAAUUAUAAAUCGGUUUCUGCCCAAUGAAUAAAUGAAAAUUUAAAUGGCUGCGGUAUACUGACCGUACUAAGGUAGCAUAAUAAAUAGUUUUUUAAUUAAAAACUUGAAUGAAAGAGCUGACGAGAUAAAAAUUGUUUCAAUAUUAAUAAUUGAAUUUAAAUUUUAAGUUAAAAUGCUUAAAUAUUUUUAUAAGACGAGAAGACCCUAUAGAAUUUAAUAAAAUUUUAGUAUAAUGAUUUUUUUAUAAUUAAAAUAUUUAUAUUAAAUUAUAUUUAGUUGGGAGGAUUAUAAAAUUAAAAAAACUUUUAUUUUUUAAUAACAUAGAUAAAUGAAUAGUUGAUUAUUAUUAUAAUUAAAAGAAAAAAUUACCUUAGGGAUAACAGCGUAAUAUUUUUGGAGAGAUCAAAUUGAUAAAAUUGUUUGCGACCUCGAUGUUGAAUUAUGAUAUAAUUUAAAUGUAGGAGUUUAAAUUGUUAGUCUGUUCGACUAUUAAAAUCAUACGUGAUCUGAGUUCA
rnacentral:rRNA from 1 species